rnacentral:rRNA from 1 species
CUACACAUGCAAGUCGAGCGGAUGACAGGAGCUUGCUCCUGAAUUCAGCGGCGGACGGGUGAGUAAUGCCUAGGAAUCUGCCUGGUAGUGGGGGACAACGUUUCGAAAGGAACGCUAAUACCGCAUACGUCCUACGGGAGAAAGCAGGGGACCUUCGGGCCUUGCGCUAUCAGAUGAGCCUAGGUCGGAUUAGCUAGUUGGUGAGGUAAUGGCUCACCAAGGCGACGAUCCGUAACUGGUCUGAGAGGAUGAUCAGUCACACUGGAACUGAGACACGGUCCAGACUCCUACGGGAGGCAGCAGUGGGGAAUAUUGGACAAUGGGCGAAAGCCUGAUCCAGCCAUGCCGCGUGUGUGAAGAAGGUCUUCGGAUUGUAAAGCACUUUAAGUUGGGAGGAAGGGCAUUAACCUAAUACGUUAGUGUUUUGACGUUACCGACAGAAUAAGCACCGGCUAACUCUGUGCCAGCAGCCGCGGUAAUACAGAGGGUGCAAGCGUUAAUCGGAAUUACUGGGCGUAAAGCGCGCGUAGGUGGUUUGUUAAGUUGGAUGUGAAAUCCCCGGGCUCAACCUGGGAACUGCAUUCAAAACUGACAAGCUAGAGUAUGGUAGAGGGUGGUGGAAUUUCCUGUGUAGCGGUGAAAUGCGUAGAUAUAGGAAGGAACACCAGUGGCGAAGGCGACCACCUGGACUGAUACUGACACUGAGGU